rnacentral:lncRNA from 1 species
GGUAGCAGGGAUGAAGAGUUCCUUCUGCAUCCCCCAUGUGCAGGAAUGGUGUGUUCCCAAGACCCACUAGCCUGGGAAUGGGAGAAGAAAGACCAAGAAGGGAUGACAGACAGCAUGGAAGUAGGGAGAGAGGAUGCAGCAAGAAGUGAUCUAACUGGACAGUGAUGGAAUCAUUCAUCUGGUGGAUGAGGAGGAUGCCUGGACAGGCACUGGCAGGCCAGCAGGUUGUGCCCGAGAAGUCUGAUUCACCUCUUCAG